rnacentral:rRNA from 1 species
UACGGGAGGCAGCAGUGGGGAAUAUUGGACAAUGGGGGAAASCCUGAUCCAGCUAUGCCGUGUGAGUGAAGAAGGCCUUAGGGUUGUAAAGAUAUUUCAUAUGUGAAGAUGAUGACGGUAACAUCAGAAGAAGCAYCG